rnacentral:rRNA from 1 species
GAUGAACGCUGGCGGCGUGCCUAAUACAUGCAAGUCGAGCGAACAGAUGAGGAGCUUGCUCCUCUGACGUUAGCGGCGGACGGGUGAGUAACACGUGGAUAACCUACCUAUUAGACUGGGAUAACUUCGGGAACCCGGAGCUAAUACCGGAUAAUAUAUUGAACUGCAUGGUUCAAUAGUGAAUGACGGUUUUGCUGUCACUUAUAGAUGGAUCCGCGCCGCAUUAGCUAGUUGGUAAGGUAACGGCUUACCAAGGCAACGAUGGUGAGCGGACCUGAGAGGGUGAGCGGCCACACUGGAAUUGAGACAGGGUCAAGACUCCGACGGGAGGCAGCAGUAGGGAAUGUGCCGCAAUGGGCGAAAGCCGAACGGAGCAACGCCGCGGGAGUGAGGAAGGUCUUCGGAUCGUAAAACUCUGUUAUUAGGGAAGAACAAAUGUGUAAGUAACUAUGCACGUCGUGACGGUACCUAAUCAGAAAGCCACGGCUAACUACGUG